rnacentral:rRNA from 1 species
UACAGGGGGUGCGAGCGUUAAUCGGAAUUACUGGGCGUAAAGCGCGCGUAGACGGUUUUGUAAGUCAGAUGUGAAAUCCCCGGGCUCAACCUGGGAACUGCAUUUGAAACUGCAUGGCUAGAGUACGGUAGAGGGAAGCGGAAUUUCAGGUGUAGCGGUGAAAUGCGUAGAUAUCUGGAGGAACUCCAGUGGCGAAGGCGGCUUCCUGGACCAGUACUGACGUUCAUGUGCGAAAGCGUGGGGAGCAACCAGG